UUUAAGUAAAAUGUAAACAAUAACAAAAGCCUGCAAUGCAUGACCCUGACACUAAUCCUUUAAGGUGCCAUUAAAAUGAUAAUUGGGUCAAAACCUGACUUAAUAUUUCUGUAUAUGAAAUUGUUAUUAAAUUUUACAUGUCCAAUGAUUCAUUCAAGUAUUAUUAUUGUUUAUAUAUAAUAUGAUGCUGUACAGUAUUCAGUGGCAAGCUAGCUACAAUGGCAACUGGUCAUGUCACAGCUAUAAACCUGGAUCUAUUUGAAUAAUGCAAAUCAUUAAAAACUUGCAUACUGUGGCAUGACCUGUUGGUAUGGCUAGCUCACUGAUCUAAUAGAUCAG